rnacentral:rRNA from 1 species
UGGGCGUAAGCGAGCGCAGGCGGUUUCUUAAGUCUGAUGUGAAAGCCCCCGGCUCAACCGGGGAGGGUCAUUGGAAACUGGGAGACUUGAGUGCAGAAGAGGAGAGUGGAAUUCCAUGUGUAGCGGUGAAAUGCGUAGAUAUAUGGAGGAACACCAGUGGCGAAGGCGGCUCUCUGGUCUGUAACUGACGCUGAGGCUCGAAAGCGUGGGGAGCAAACAGGAUUAGAUACCC